CCAGACUGUCUACAUAUAUAUGUAUAUACACUCACACACGUAACUAGUUUAAUUAAAAAAUAGAAAUUUAUUAUGCAUACUGCUUCCUUCCUGCCUGCCCUUCUUCUUUCCUUCCUUCCUUCUUUUUUUACUUUUUAUUACAGAAAAAUUCGACAUAUACAAAAGUAUAGAGAACAGCACGCAGAGCCCCCAGCGAGGGGCUGGCCUGGGGCUCCGGGCUGUAAAUCUGGGGGAACAGCUCGUCCAGAAGUCGCUGUCCUUGCCCCUGAGGAUUUUCUCAGAGAGAAAAUGCGUUGCUCAGAGAAUUAUCUAGACCAAGGGAGCACGAGGGUGUGGAAGUCCGUCUCCAGCGCUGGGCUGCGCCCUCCAGGAGCAAGGUUGACGGUUCGCCGCCUGCCACCCUCCGAGCUGCAGGCCGGGAGCAGACCAUGUGCUGGGCUGUGGACAGUAAACGAAAGUUCAGGAACGCAUCCCUAUAAAUCUGCCGGGACUAAAGGAAAGUCCACGCGUCGGGGUGUCCAACAACCCCUGGGCCCUCCCUUUCCCUGCCCCACAGAGGACCCCUGGGGGCCUGCUGUCAGGAGACAAGCUGGGAAGACCAACAACCCGGGUGGAUGGCGACAGAUGGGAGCCGGGCGUGUCAAAGCCCACACCAGAGGGGCAGGGACUGGCUUGGCAUCACGUGGUGCAUCGGGCCAGAGCUGGACUAGAACCCAGGGCUUUGCAGUCGGUUCUGCAGGGGACCUGGGUGCCCACUGGGUGCUGGACACUGUAAGGAAAGUGAACAAUUGCUGCGAGAAACACCUGGGUGUGGGUGGCACUCCAGGCCAGAGUCGGGGACUCUGGACCAGCUGGGUGACCCUGGACAGGUCCACGCCCCUCAGCCUGUUUUUCUCCUAUAAUGUUUCUGCCUAUGGUGUUGGGAGGCUGUGAAAUCACAUUAAACCAUGUGUACUGACAGACUCUGAGCUGCAAACUGCUUUACCUGUGCAAGGCUCCCAGUCCUUGUUUUAUAAGUAUUUGCUAUUUUCUAAGCCAUCCACGCUGUGCUCCACCCUUGCAGGUACAUUCUCCUACUGUCCAGCUUGGGUUAAAGGUGAGUGGUGGGAAUCAGACUAACUCAUGUGAGAUAUUUAGCAAGCCACUCAGUGUUAAUCCAGCAUCUGGCAUCAACUUGCAUGCCUCCAC
rnacentral:lncRNA from 1 species